ACCUUUACAGAUUGAAAAGGUGGUGUUUUUUUAUGAAACUAAAAAAACACUGAAAAGGGAAUACGGUCUUCAUUUUAUGAUUUAUUCCGUAACUGUACCCGCAACUGUGAAUUUGAUUUUUUAGUAAUUAUCUAUUUCUAAAAAAUAGUAUAUACUGCUUCUACACUUAAACUAUAAAGUAUAUACUGCUAAGUAAUUAUUUAAUUUUUGAAAUUUGAUACUUCUGAUUUCUUAUUUCUAAAUUUUUACUUAAUUCAAUCAGUCAGGAGACCUGCCUUUUCAGUUAUUGUACU
rnacentral:ncRNA from 1 species